rnacentral:rRNA from 1 species
GAUGAACGCUGGCGGCGUGCCUAAUACAUGCAAGUCGAGCGAACGGACGAGAAGCUUGCUUCUCUGAUGUUAGCGGCGGACGGGUGAGUAACACGUGGAUAACCUACCUAUAAGACUGGGAUAACUUCGGGAAACCGUAGCUAAUACCGGAUAAUAUUUUGAACCGCAUGGUUCAAAAGUGAAAGACGGUCUUGCUGUCACUUAUAGAUGGAUCCGCGCUGCAUUAGCUAGUUGGUAAGGUAACGGCUUACCAAGGCAACGAUGCAUAGCCGACCUGAGAGGGUGAUCGGCCACACUGGACCUGAGCCACGGUCCAGACUCCUACGGGAGGCAGCAGUAGGGAAUCUUCCGCAAUGGGCGAAAGCCUGACGAAGCAACGCCGCGUGAUUGAUGAAGGUCUUCGGAUCGUAAAACUCUGUUAUUAGGGAAGAACAUAUGUGUAAGUAACUGUGCACAUCUUGACGGUACCUAAUCAGAAAGCCACGGCUAACUACGUG